rnacentral:rRNA from 1 species
CGCGUAGGUGGUAGUGCAAGUCUGGGGUGGAAUCUUAGGGCUUAACCCUAAAAACUGCCUUGGAAACUGCAUUACUUGAGUCAGUGAGGGGAGGGUAGAAUUCCUGGUGUAGCGGUGAAAUGCGUAGAUAUCAGGAGGAAGGCCUGUGGCGAAGGCGGCCCUCUGGCGCUGAACUGACGCUGAGGCGCGAAAGCGUGGGUAGCAAACAGGAUUAGAUACCCUGGUAGUCCACGCCCUAAACGGUGGGUACUAGGUGUAGGGCUCGUAAGGGUUCUGUGCCGAAGGGAAACCAUUAAGUACCCCGCCUGGGGAGUACGGCCGCAAGGUUGAA